CAGGGUCAGGUGGGUGAGGGCGUGGGGUGGGUGGGGGCUAAGCGUAGGGGAGGUGGAGGAGAGGAGAGGAGACGGUUACCCUAGAGAGGGAAAGAGGCUAGGUACGGCCCUAGGAGGCGGCACACCGGCGUGUGCGCGUGUCGGAAGGAGGUGUUGGGCCGGCUGGUCCGGGUAGCGCCGCCGGUCGGGCCCUACGAGGGGCGGCGCCGUACCUCCGCACCGCCGUGCCGCCGGGGCUCCCUCUAGGAUCACCGCCGUGUCUGCUAUACCUCCUCCGCCACAUGCUCCACCACGACGCCGUCCGGCGCGACCACCUGCUGGACGCCCCCGCAGCCCGCCGCGCUCUCCAGCUCCGCCCCUCCUCGAGCUGGUGCUGAACCUGGCCACGUCCUCUAGCUGGUGCUGCUACCUGGCCGUGUUCUCGAGAUGAGGUUGUGACGAAGGGGUAGAGACCAGAAAGGAAGUUUGAGGUCAGGGCCGCCGACCUACUAUAUGGAACGCAUACGACUACGACUACUAUGGAGUGACGGACGUUACAAGCCUCCUAAGUUGGUGGGACAACUUCUAAGGGUUCUUUAAGAAUGGACGACGUCCCACUUUAAAAAACUUGUUUUCAAUAAAUUCAUGAGGACCACACGACAACCUUAUUUGACUUCUAGUUCUACCACCUCCGUCGGUCACAGCACGGGCUCGCGACCCCUCGAACGGUCGCAACACCACCUCUUCCAGCCGGCGGAGGAGAGGGGUGGUUCAGCGAAACCAGGUAUCUAGCUCAAGUACCACCUAUUCCUUCCGCACCAACUAAAGUGGUUCGACCUAGGCAUCCAGGGCUUCAGGAUACCGUACUUGGCCGGUGCUGCGUACGCCGACCUACGUGAACGAGUUGUGGAAAGGUAGAGACGUGUUAGUCGAUGCCACGACGACGUGAACACGAUCAGUCACCCCUCUUUCGAUUCUUGGAACCAGAAGUUCAAGAACGUUCCUGGUCUCCCAUACGACUACAACGCGUCCGUGGACACGAUAAAUGUCUUCCUCCCCUGGGCCGGAAGAAGUAUAGAACGCCGUGACAGAAGGAAACUAAGCAAGUACGUUGUUCCUCCCAUGUAUCGGAAGAAGUGCAGAGCACGUUGUUCCCACUAACUGUGACUGAUACCGUCGAACAACCCGCAGCACGAGAAGUUGGUGAAUCUCCAUCUGAAGCUGCACUUCGGGCCGCUCGCGCGGCGUACCUACUGGCAGGUACACUAGCGCUGCGGCCUACAGCGACUCCACCUCCUGGAGCUACGGUAGAAAGCACCACUCCCUCCUAAGCCCAGGAGGCCGCAGACUUGAGACUCGGGACGAUCUAUGUACAUCUCUUCACCAUACAAAUCCGACGACCACCUUGUGAUCCCUUCCAUGGGUGGAAACCAACACACGCAAAUGACUAUUUACCUUAGAGCACUUGAUAACCUCAACUCUACAAGUUACAACGUAGGUACUUGUCACGUUCACAAUUCUACUAGGACACUGGAAUUAAAUAAAACGUGAGCUGCACAGAGACUAG
rnacentral:rRNA from 1 species